rnacentral:lncRNA from 1 species
GAGGUCGCCGAGCCCGGAGCUCGGCCAGAGAUGCCCCCUCAGAGCCGCUGCCUAUGCUAGGCACCGACCCAAAGGAGUUCUGCGUAUCUUGGGCUGGAAAGGCCGUCCGAGGGGAAGUCACUCCUGUGAGGGCAUGGCUGUUGCAAGGGGAUGAGUGCAGUGCAACUGGCAGCGCAACUGUGCCAGCUGCAGACAGCCAGCGACCAGCGCUCAGGGAAAUAAGGGCGCCAAAAUGCAGAGCCCAAGGCCGAGGGUUAAAAUCUGGCCAGGAGUUACCGGAGAAUUGCUUCUGUUGUUAAAAAAAAAAGGGUAUUUGAGAACUGCUUUUAGGUCUCGACUUUGCCCUGUUUACUCAAUGCUCAAGGCAAGGUUUAUAAAGAGAAUUGCUUUUUAUUGGACUAACUGCGCUUCUUUGCAAAAACAGCUAAGUUUUGGGGCAAACAAAACCUUCAGACUUGUGCAGCUGUGGAAGGGUGUCAUGGGUACAUAAAAUACAGGAUCUCCUCUCCAUGCUGCCAAACACACUUGGUCUGGGACUUGAAAACUGUUGCUACAUAGGGAAUAUCCCUGGGGAGCAAACUGGGGGAAUUCAAGGUAUACAAGAGACUUACUGAGAGAGGUUUUGGCUUUGGACUAUCUGUGGAGUGAAAACACUAUAACUGAAACCAAAGUAGAACUGCUAAGAGAAGACAAAAAAUUAUCUCCCUUAGGAGCUUUGGAAACAUCCCAGAGCUGUAGUUGGAAGAGCAGUAGGGUAUGCUGUGAAGGAAACAGAAUAGGAACAUUUUCCGAAACUCCAAGUAAGAGAGUUUGCCUUUUUUUGCCAGAUAACAUAAGUUCAGGUGAUCAGAUCACAGCUACUUUUCAUUUAAAUUUUGUUCCUUUGUGUUUGGAAUGAAAUGUCCAUUUUGCCUUGUGCUUCCUCCUUUGGUGAAGCCUUCUCAUCUGCUUUAUUUCUAAACAGAGCACAGAAUCAGAAAAUAUUCCAUGGAUGAUGGAGCCUUCCCUGCAGCAGUUAAACAGGUCAUACAACCCCAUCUGUAAAUUUACCAAGCUUUCAUCAUAAAACAGCUUUGGGGUUUUUGCCCCCAUACUCCUAUUGGGAAGCUGCUGCACCACUUUAUGUCCCCAACAACUGGAAACCUUUUGAAUCUCUGUGAUGAAUUUUCAUGGCAAUUUUGUCAGACAGUUUCAUGUAAUAACAAAGUUCUACUUCAAGUAUCUUUCCUUUUAGUGUUUCUCUUGCCUUCCUUUAUCCCCAGGAUAACUGAAGAGCAAUAAUAGACAAACAUUUUCACAGAUUUUCAUUAAAUAAUGAUAUUGUAAUGUAUAAUAAUGUAGUGUCUGAUAAUGUAAUGAUAUAGUAUAAUAAUGUCAAUAAUGUAAUGAAAGGAACAAGCUAAAUGAAGUAAGGUAAUAAACUAAAUAAGAUCAAUCCUUUUUAGGGGAGGGUUUCAUAGCUCCCUUAUAGUAUGUAGUUUUGCUGCAACAUAUGUAUUUACUAGGUUUUUUACCUAAUUAUCUUUUCUAAACUAUGAACUAUCAUCUGGUAAUAGAAAAUUCCUGCUGUUAAUUCCAAGCUGCAACCGUGCACUUUGUACACUCUAACCUCAUCCCCUUUCAGUAACUGAAGUUCAAUGACCUGUAUGAUAUUCCAAGCCUUUUCUAGUUUGACACUGCCUCCAAACUUUGUCAUCAGAAAAUGUCAUAAACACACGCUGUACCAAAAUUAGCUAUGAUACUAUCUGCUAUUUUUAGUCUCCAAGCUAAUCCUAGAAAAUUCUGCUGGUAACUUUACUCCAAACAUAGAGUUUCCCUUUCAAUGUAGUAGAUUGAACCUUUGUAUUUGUGAAGACAGUAGAGUCAAUCCAACAUUGAGGAAUUUGUGGUUUUCUUUGUAAUUUUGAUCUGAUUUCAGUUAAUUUCCUUCCUCUAAAUUAUUAUUUUCUCUCACAGUGAAGCCUUUCUCCCAUUGUGGGCUAAUAUUUGAUGGGCUAAUGUAUAAAUGGUUUAAUAAGGUAAACUGGAAAAAAAAGACAUUGUUUUUAUCUGGUAGAAGGCCACUAGGCAGAUCUCUCAUAGUCUGACAUAAAAUGAUUUUUUAUCCUUCACUGUUUCAAAUUUCCAUUUACGUGGAUAUGUUAAUUGUUCUUUCCCAUGCUGUGUGUUUUUAAACCUUUCAUAAUAUUAAAGUCAUCUUAAUAGGGUUGUAGUUUAAUUGGUUACUUCUUCUCCUCUUCCAUACUUCAUUUGCUCAUCUUUAGUAAUAUGAUGCAAUACUUGCCUCAUUUACUUAGUUGUUCGGUUCACCAUUUCAGGCAAAGAAACAGAUUUUGAAAAAAUUUUGUCAUUACAAAAAAUAAGCUUUGUAAGGAGUAAUGUGCUAUGAGGAGCAGAACUGGGGUUCCUGAAGCAACAGCUACACAGAACUCACUUGGCUGUAUGCCAAUGGUCGGCAGAUUCACAGUGGUUGUAUCUAAACUGGGGAGUAGAAGGACGAGCCUCACUGUAGCUGUACCUCACUUAAGUUAAUGGUUGAAAUGCCUGGUUUUCCUAGUCUGUGUUACUAGAAGUCACUGUGAUUUACCAUAACAAUGACUAAUCAGUUUGGUCUGAAUCAUUCUUCACUAUCAUACGCUAUGUUCUUAAAAAGUAAUACUUUUUUCAGUUGUUUAUAUUAUCUUAACCUUGUCAAAUAUAUUUUGUAAUUAACGUGAUAUUUUUUCCUGUAUCUACACCAAAACAGGAAAGAUAUGCAGUGUUCUGACUGACCAGAAUUCUGGAGAAUCUUUUUGGAAUUUCCAAGGAGCACAAGUGAAAAUGAAUCUUAGGGUAUUCUCAUCAGCUGUACUACAUAUGGUACAAAUCUUACUCCAUAGCAGAUAUUUAAAAUUAAAUUCUUCUGUGUUGUCAGACCACUGCAGAGCUCAGGCAUCUGAAACUGCCAUCCUUUUAUCUUUUAUUUUAAUGUGAACAGUAAAACUUUUCAUUUAGAUUAUUACAACAUAUAUCUCAAACUUAUAUAAACAUGCUAUUCUAAGAUAAAACAAUAAUUUCAAACAAUAAUAAUUGCCUUUUGCUGUAAAAAAGGAAUGAAAAAGGAGAACUGCAAAAUUUUCAAGAAGUAAUCUGAACUUCUGCUCCUUCCCUUGAGAACUGGAUUUUCCUUUGUGAUACCCACUGUAGAUGAUGCCAUUUAGCAUUACCGGUGAUGACUCCAGAGAAAUCUGAUUUUUGGUUAGCAAAGAAAGCAUGUCAAGUCAGAAUUUCUAAGAAUCAUGUGUUUAAAUUUUUACCAUUAUCUGGUAAUAUGGAAGGCCUUAAUAUUUUUUACUAGGUCCUGACUCUCUCAUCUAUUUACCUGUCUUACUCUAUUAGCACACAGAUCUGGAGCUGUCUUUCCUGAAGCCAGAGAAUAUGAGAAGGAUGCUCUCCUGGUCUGAUGCCUGCCUUUCUCAACUGUGGUAUUCAAGGAGAUGCAGUAGCUUAUUUUACAUCUUUGUAGAAUAAGGAGACACCAUGUCUCCUGAUGUUUGGUUUCUUUGGUUAAUGUCCUGAAAUGUAAAUAGGAGGUCAGUGUGUACCGUGCCUGCUAUUUCAGGGACAUAGCUAUUAAGAUGAAGAAGGCCUCUGCUUUGCUAGGCACCAGACAAAUGGAUCAAAAGCGCCCAGAGCCUGUGGGUUUCCUCAUUGCCAAAGAAUGCAGUUUGCUUUUAAAUCACAGUGAAUCAAGGGCUUCAAAUAUGAGCUCUGAAGUGAGAGAUUACAGAUUCUGAAGAGAGGAUUGGCUUGUAUAGAUAUAUCAUGCGAGUUGCUAUAAAUGUUAGGUCUGCAAAAGAGCUCUUCAAGCCAGUGGUCUGAAAAUUAUAGUCUUAGAUGGAAAGGGUGAGGCUGAAGUGGGGAGUAAAGGACAAUAUCCCAAUCUGCCAAACUGUAUAGACUCUGAGGAGCAUGGAUUGUGGAGGAGGGUAUGUGUUACAUUGUAUGGAGACUGUUGAGCUCAUGUUUUACUUCAGUCAGAAGAUACAUCACUGUGUCACCUUGGUACAAGAUGCUUACUCUUUUUGUUCUUUGCAGUAUGACUCUUAUGUGGUGUGAAGCCAUAAAAAAACACCUGCUGGAGCUCAACUACAUUUUUUCAGAGUAAAUAACCUGAAAAGCUUGCAUUGGUUAAAGUGCAGGGGAAAGUCUGUGAGAAGUUGUGUUCUACAUGUUGAACAAAUUAUUCUUUACAAAUUAUUGUUCUUUACAAAGCCAACCUUGUGGUUUGAGCCCUCUCAUAACACAGUGUCUGUAAAAAUAAAUGACUGGCUUUAUAGUUUGGUUUAAUGCAAAGUUCAGUAAACAGACACAGGGAUUGUUUAAAGACAGGUGUGUAAGUUGCUUAUCUUUACUUUUUCCUUUCUUCUCUUCUGUUUUUGACAAGUUAACCCAUACCUCCUUAGUUAUAACUUUGGGAAAUUUCCAAAGAAACCUAAAAAUUUCUCUGAGAAAACUGUGUUUUCUGAGCUAAAAAAGAUGCAUUAAACUGUACUUCUAUGCUUUCAAAUUAUACAGGAAGAUUAUGAAGGUCAUACUCAUAUUUCAGAUCUGAAUAAAAUUUUAUAUGCUGCUGUGUAAAUAUAUACAGAGUAGUUCUUAUGUGGUUUCUCGUAAUAGUUGCUCUAGGCUUUCAUCUGGUACAAUUUUCACUGAGUGCCAUAAUGACAGGUUCCACAAAGGGCCUCUCAUUCAUUUUUAGCUCUACCAAUUCAAAACAGAAAAAAAAAAAAAAAAA